AAAUGCGAUAAGUAAUGUGAAUUGCAGAAUUCCGUGAAUCAUCGAAUCUUUGAACGCACAUUGCGCCCUCUGGUAUUCCGGGGGGCAUGCCUGUCCGAGCGUCAUUGCGAACCCCUCAAGCACGGCUUGUGUGAUGAGCCCUCCCGCGUCUUGGUCGUCAAGACGGGCCCGAAAUGCAGUGGCGGCUUCGUGGUUAUCCGAUCAGCCAGAGCGUAUGGGGACUUUCUCUCUGUCACACGCCCGCGGCGCGGACCGACGCCUGUCGACCUUCAUUCAUCGUUUUCUCGGUUGACCUCGGAUCAGGUAGGGAUACCCGCUGAACUUAAGC
rnacentral:misc_RNA from 1 species